GACGAACGCUGGCGGCGUGCCUAAUGCAUGCAAGUCGAGCGACGCAUACUGGAGGGGUAACCCACCGGUAUGACGGAGCGGCGAACGGGUGAGUAACACGUGAGUAACCUACCCCGAAGACCGGGAUAACCCAGGGAAACCUGGGCUAAUACCGGAUACUCUCGGACCUUCGCAUGGAGGACCGAGGAAAGCUUUAGCGCUUCGGGAUGGGCUCGCGGCCUAUCAGCUAGUUGGUGGGGUAACGGCCCACCAAGGCUUUGACGGGUAGCUGGUCUGAGAGGACGAUCAGCCACACCGGGACUGAGACACGGCCCGGACUCCUACGGGAGGCAGCAGUGGGGAAUAUUGGACAAUGGGGGGAACCCUGAUCCAGCCCUGCCGCGUGUGUGAAGAAGGUCUUCGGAUUGUAAAGCACUUUAAGUUGGGAGGAAGAGCUCCGGGCUAAUACCCUGCGAGUUUUGACGUUACCAACAGAAUAAGCACCGGCUAACUUCGUGCCAGCAGCCGCGGUAAUACGAAGGGUGCGAGCGUUAAUCGGAAUUACUGGGCGUAAAGCGCGCGUAGGUGGUUUGUUAAGUUGGAAGUGAAAGCCCCGGGCUUAACCUGGGAAUUGCUUUCAAAACUGACGGGCUAGAGUACGGUAGAGGGUAGUGGAAUUUCCUGUGUAGCGGUGAAAUGCGUAGAUAUAGGAAGGAACAUCAGUGGCGAAGGCGACUGCCUGGACUGAUACUGACACUGAGGUGCGAAAGCGUGGGGAGCAAACAGGAUUAGAUACCCUGGUAGUCCACGCCGUAAACGAUGUCAACUAGUUGUUGGGGGUCUUGUACCUUUAGUAACGCAGCUAACGCAUUAAGUUGACCGCCUGGGGAGUACGGCCGCAAGGUUAAAACUCAAAUGAAUUGACNGGGGCCCGCACAGCGGUGGAGCAUGUGGUUUAAUUCGAGCAACGCGAAAACCUUACCUGGCCUUGACAUGUAGCGAACUUUCNNAGAUGGAUGGUGCCU
rnacentral:rRNA from 1 species